UCCGCAGGCGGGCCAGUAAGUCAGGGGUGAAAGUUUGCGGCUCAACCGUAAAAUUGCCUUUGAUACUGCUGGUCUUGAGUUGCGGUGAAGUGGCCGGAAUAUGUGGUGUAGCGGUGAAAUGCAUAGAUAUCACAUAGAACACCGAUUGCGAAGGCAGGUCACUAACCGCCGACUGACGCUGAUGGACGAAAGCGUGGGGAGCGAACAGGAUUAGAUACCCUGGUAGUCC
rnacentral:rRNA from 1 species